CUACCCCAUAACUGAAUAGUUAUUUUCUGUUGUCUAGGAGAGCAUUGAGAAUCCAGUCUAUGCCACGGACACCAGCAUAGUUUCAGAGCUGACAGUGUCUUCCAGUGCUUCUCCCAUACAUGCCAAUGGCAAUGCCAUACAUGCCAACGGCAAAGCAGCCCCUGUCAAGACUGUGUCUGUUGAGCCUGCCUUUGAGAACCCAGCUUACUCUGCAGAGCAGGAGCAAACACCAGAGAUCAGCAGUGGGGUCCAGGAUGGACAGAAGGAGAAAGAGGAUGAGGAGGAGGAGAAGCUGGUUGUUGCCCAGUCUGAAGAGGACUCUGACGCAGCGUUCUCUAACCCCAUGUACACAGACCCAGUACAACUUCCCAACCCGGAGGAUUCCUCUAUUUAAAUGAAGCCAAUAGACCUCAUCUUUUGAAAACAACUCAAACAACAACUCAACACACAAGACAAACACACACACACACACACACACAGAUGCCAAGACAGAGAGUUGCAACCUCUAUUGUGCUUAAGUUCACACCUCAUUCAUAACUUAAUGUGCUUAAGUUCACACCUCAGACUAGUUUGUUAUUGCUUCCUCUAUUAGCAUUGUGAAAUCCUCUUUGUAGAGACACAUCUCACACUGUAUCAGUACCGCGUGGGGUAUGUAGAGACUCAGGAAGCAGACGUAGACAAAUCAACAGGCUGCCGACUCGCUGUUUGAAUGAAUGAGGUUUUAAGAGGAAUGAAAUCUUUUCUUAUGUGAUAACUGUAUAGAUUUUCAGUCAAAUUUACAUUAUUUAGGAUGAUUGUCUUGUGUAAUGUACAAUGGGAAAAUGCAUCAAAUAUAUAUUGUAAUAUUAUUGUAUUUAAGCAUAAAUAAAAGUUAAUUUUUUCAUGCAG